rnacentral:rRNA from 1 species
GGGGGGAGCAAGCGUUGUUCGGAUUUACUGGGCGUAAAGGGCGCGUAGGCGGUAGCACAAGUCAGUUGUGAAAUCUCCGGGCUUAACUCGGAAAGGUCAGCUGAUACUGUGCGACUAGAGUGCAGAAGGGGCAACUGGAAUUCUCGGUGUAGCGGUGAAAUGCGUAGAUAUCGAGAGGAACACCUGCGGCGAAGGCGGGUUGCUGGGCUGACACUGACGCUGAGGCGCGAAAGCCAGGGGAGCGAACGGGAUUAGAUACCCCGGUAGUCCUGGCCUUAAACGAUGGAUGCUUGGUGUCUGGAGUUUUAUAGUCUCCGGGUGCCGCAGCUAACGCGUUAAGCAUCCCGCCUGGGGAGUACGGUCGCAAGACUG